rnacentral:rRNA from 1 species
AGCAGUAGCCGCGGGAAUACAGAGGGUGCGAGCGUUAAUCGGAUUUACUGGGCGUAAAGCGUGCGUAGGCGGCUUUUUAAGUCGGAUGUGAAAUCCCUGAGCUUAACUUAGGAAUUGCAUUCGAUACUGGGAAGCUAGAGUAUGGGAGAGGAUGGUAGAAUUCCAGGUGUAGCGGUGAAAUGCGUAGAGAUCUGGAGGAAUACCGAUGGCGAAGGCAGCCAUCUGGCCUAAUACUGACGCUGAGGUACGAAAGCAUGGGGAGCAAACAGGAUUAGAGACCCCAGUAGUCCCUGUCUCUUAUAC